CACUCCCUCCAUGGCACCACUACAAGUUAAACUGGCUGCUUGCAAUGAAGUCCUGGCUACAGAGAGGAACUGGCUCUUCACAAGGGCCACCUUUUGAGGACACUCCCACCUCAACCCCAGUCCCAGAGAAACCUUUUGGACACCUAACCUUGGAACCUGGACGGAAGCAUGGCAGACGUUACUGUCCACACUGUACAGGUCCAGAGAGGUUAGAGGAUGUGCCUGAGGAUGCACAGCUAUUAAAGGCCGAAGGCAUGAUGACCUCCAAUCAUGUGAUCACAAAUCUGUGAGCAUCCCACCAAACCUGGUCAAACCCAACCAAACAAAAGCACAUGGAGCAUCUUCAGGAUCCACCCAGAGGCCCCAUGUUGGUUAUGGAUCAGUGUCAGGAGAGACAUCUUUUGAUUUUCAUGUAUCUUUUUGAGGUCCUUCAACUUUGCCCCAUAUGAGUUCACCCUGACUAGGCAGUACUCUUGCUCCAAGGAAGAAUGAUAACAUAGUCUCUCCUCCUGGGUCCCUGGCUAUAUCCUGGGAGCCUGUCUGCAGAAUCCAGUUCUGAGUUGGGAGUUGGGCCGUCACGGCAGUGCCGUGCCUGCACAGGGUAGAUCACCAGGAUGCAGAGGUGGCUCUGAACACACUUGCCUCUGGGAGAGGCUACUGUGCCAGCUGCCAUUUUCUGCUCAACAUAUCAGGCAAGAAGUGAGAUCUACAGCAUUCUUCCGUUUGUGUCUCAAAUACGCAUGCUUUUGUUCCUACUGGCAACAUUCUAUAUAUUUAGUUCUCUUUGGAGGAGUAUCUCUGCAUUAAGAUAAAGGAGCUCCUGAAAUUUGGCAGAUUCAGGGGUCUAAUUUACAAAGUGGGGACCAGAAGAUGGAAUGGCUUUCGAGGUUUUGUUCAAAUGGUUAAAAGAGAUGCCAAAAGAUGUCUUUUUAUGUUCAGCUGGCUUAAUUUUUUAACGUCAAUACCAGCUAAGUGCUGAAGGUAACAAAUGACCCACUGUAACAUCUUUCCCGGUUAAUUUUUAAAAGGAAAUUCAGGAAGAGAGCCUAAAACUAUUUUUUGUUUUUUAAUGACAAAGCAUAUUUAGACAGACUAAAUUUGGCAAAAUAAAUAAGUAAAUAUAAGCUCA
rnacentral:lncRNA from 13 species